rnacentral:tRNA from 1 species
UUCUCAAUAGCUUAGUGGCAGAGCAAUCAGCUAUAGACUAUCUGGUGGUAGGUUUAAAUCCCACUUGGAGAG